GACGAACGCUGGCGGCGCGCUUAACACAUGCAAGUCGAGCGAAGCGGCGGCCGGGUGAGUAACACGUGAGUAACCUGCCUUAUACAUUGGGAUAGCCUCGGGAAACCGGGAUUAAUACCAAAUGGUCUAAUGUGGACUCGCGUCCCAUUAGCUAGUUGGUGGGGUAACGGCCCACCAAGGCGACGAUGGGUAGCCGGCCUGAGAGGGUGAACGGAGACAUUGGAACGGAGAAACAGUACAAACUCUACGGGAGGCAGCAGUGGGGAAUAGUGCAAAAUGGAGGGAACGCUGAUGCAGCGACGCCGCGUGAACGCAGAAGGCUGGCGAGUCGUAAAGUUCUUUUAUAUGGGAAGCGGUACCAAAAGAAAAAGCCCCGGCUAACUACGUGCCAGCAGCCGCGGUAAUAC
rnacentral:rRNA from 1 species